UAUGUGGUCAUGCAGGAUGGAUUUUUAUGAAUCUACUCACCUUUGCAGGCCCAGAAAUAUUUUUCCAAGAUGGAAGACAGUGUUCAUUCUUGAAUUCCAUCUGUGUGGAACUAUUAGCUAAGCAGGCCAGAGCAUGGAACUUCGUGCAUGUAAGACGGAUGAAAAUAGCUGAGGGCAAUUAUUGCUUGGGGCUGCAAUUUCUAUCAAGCUGUCUACUUAGAGUCUCAGGAGGAAGCAGGCAGAAUCUCAAAGCCAGAAGUUUAAUCAAGUUGCCUGCAUGCUUAGCAAAUCGUCUGUAA
rnacentral:lncRNA from 1 species